rnacentral:rRNA from 1 species
UACGAAGGUGGCAAGCGUUACUCGGAAUGACUAGGCGUAAAGGGCAGGUAGGUGGUUUGGUAAGUCUGUUGUGAAAGCUCCUGGCUUAACCGGGAGAGGCCAACAGAUACUACCGGACUAGAGUGUGGGAGAGGGUACUGGAAUUCCCGGUGUAGCGGUGAAAUGCGCAGAUAUCGGGAGGAACACCAAUGGCGAAAGCAAGUACCUGGACCACUACUGACACUCAGCUGCGAAAGCUAGGGGAGCAAACAGG